rnacentral:misc_RNA from 1 species
GAACCGUAGGUGAACCUGCGGUUGGAUCAUUAACAAAUUUAAACUUAGAAGAGGGUUGCUUUCGGGUUCCCUCUUUUAAACACCAUUGUGAAUUGCUUAUUGUUAUUUGGCAGGGAACGAAGUGGGUUAAAAUACGCUUUUAAUUUUUUUUUCCUUUUUGGAAAAAUGAAUGCCUGCCAUAGUUUUUAAACUUUUUUUAAAUAUAAAUUAAUGUCUUGAAUUUUUAAAUUAUUAUAAUUUUUAAACAACUUUUGACAACGGAUCUCUAGGCUCUCACAUCGAUGAAGAACGCAGC